UACGGGGGGGCAAGCGUUGUUCGGAAUUACUGGGCGUAAAGGGCUCGUAGGCGGCCAACUAAGUCAGACGUGAAAUCCCUCGGCUUAACCGGGGAACUGCGUCUGAUACUGGAUGGCUAGAGGUUGGGAGAGGGAUGCGGAAUUCCAGGUGUAGCGGUGAAAUGCGUAGAUAUCUGGAGGAACACCGGUGGCGAAGGCGGCAUCCUGGACCAAUUCUGACGCUGAGGAGCGAAAGCCAGGGGAGCAAAGCGGG
rnacentral:rRNA from 1 species